rnacentral:rRNA from 1 species
CUACGGGGUGCACCAGUGAGGAAUAUUGGUCAAUGGGCGCGAGCCUGAACCAGCCAUCCCGCGUGCAGGAUGACGGCCCUAUGGGUUGUAAACUGCUUUUCUAUGCCAAGAAACCUGAUUACGUGUAAUCAGUUGCCGGUAGCAUAGGAAUAAGCAUCGGCUAACUCCGUGCCAGCAGCCGCGGUAAUACGGAGGAUGCAAGCGUUAUCCGGAUUCAUUGGGUUUAAAGGGUGCGCAGGUGGGCUUGUAAGUCAGUGGUGAAAUGCUGCCGCUUAACGGUAGAACUGCCAUUGAUACUGCGAGUCUGGAGUAUGGUUGAGGUAGGCGGAAUGUGUUGUGUAGCGGUGAAAUGCAUAGAUAUGACACAGAACGCCAAUUGCGAAGGCAGCUUACUAAGCCAUUACUGACGCUGAGGCACGAAAGCGUGGGGAGCGAACAGGAUUAGAUACCCCGGUAGUC